ACUCUUGAGCGGUGGAUCACUCGGCUCGUCGUCGAUUGAAGAGCGCAGCCAACUUUGCGUGAAUUAGUGUGAAUUGCAGGAUAUCUUGAACAUCGACAUCUUGAACGCAUAUUGCGGCCUCAGGUCUCCCCUGUGGCCACGCCUGGCCGAGGGUCG
rnacentral:rRNA from 1 species